ensembl:snRNA U6 U6 spliceosomal RNA
GUGCUAGCUUCGGCUGGACAUAUACUAAAAUUGGAGCGAUACAGAGAUUAGCAUGGUGCCCGCACAAGGAUAACAUGAAAAUUCAUGAAGCAUUCCAUAUUUUG